GCCAGCAGCUAUCACUCUGCACUCUCUCAUCUGGUUGCCCACUGAAGCUAAGCAGGGUUGAGCCUGGUCAGUACCUGGAUGGGAGAUCUCCUGGGGAAAACUAGGUUGCUGCUGGAA
rnacentral:rRNA from 1 species